CUGGAUGACAUGCAAAAGGAACACGAGGCUGUACUACAGAAACAAAAGAAAGAGUUUGAGAAAAUGAUUGGAAAAGUAAAUGAAAUGAACGGGAAAACAAUGAAAUUACAGAAAUCAAAAAACGUCAAAGAAAUGCAGACUUUUGUACCAUGAUUCAGAAUCGGAAGAAUUUAAAUGAGGUCUCUCAGUAUUCGUUUCCGACAUUUUAUGAAUGCAAAAUAGAUCCAACUUAUUUACAAACUUAUUUCGGAUACGUUGAAAAAAUGCAGGUAAAAAAAACUUUGCUCUUGGAAAAUGAAUUCAAAGAAAGGGAGUUAUCGGGUAGAAGAAUGUUAGAGGUACCAACAGUUACUUCUGUUAUAGACACUGGGUUCCCUGCUGAAGAAGAGUAUAAAAAUCGUCUGUAUGACAUGGCCAUUACCCACGAUAACAAAGUGUGGAUGGGAGGAGCAGGCACAGAACUGAAGUUGUUUGAUCUCCAGGGACACCUCCACCACACCGUCAGCAUUCCUACCACAGGGAUGUACUUCUGUAUUUACAAAAAACAAGUAGUAUACAGUGAUCAACCUAAAAAAGCCGUGAGAAUGAUAUCUGACACCGACACUGUGGUGACGAUGUUCACUACCGGGGACUGGAUGCCACGUGGCGUCACAAGCACCGCGUCCGGUGAUCUACUGGUCUGUCUCCGUAAAGACGAUCAGUCCAAAGUCGUCCGAUACAGCAGUACCGGUACCGUGCUCCAGGAAAUCCAGUACAACUCGCAGUGUCAACCUCUGUACAAAUCGGCGUAUUACAUCACCGAGAAUGUCAACGGGGACAUCAUUGUAACUGACUGGGAUAAAAAAACAGUCAUUGCUGUCGAUAGAUUGGGCAUAUUCCGGUACUCGUACUCGGGUGUUACAUUUUCUACGGUAACCACAGACCCUGUCGGUCACGUCAUCGUUACAGAUUUAAGAGGGAACAAGAUUCACAUGCUGGACAGAGACGGACGAUUCCUGAGGUACAUUAUUCCUGAAGGAGGAAUAAAAUACCCACGCAGCGUGUGUAUCCUUGGUGACGGUGAGAUGAUGGUGGGAGAGUGUAUGACCGGAAUCGCCAAAAGAAUCAAGUACAUAGAAGAAUGAGGGCACCUCCGUGUUGUUCAUCAUUCUGUUACAAAAAUAUAUGAGUAAUUGACUUUUAUGACUUUGACUUUUACUGUUUGUAAAACUAUACUGCAUAUGUCAGUCUAGUAUCCAUAUACAUGUACAAUGGAGCAUAAGACUAAACUCAUCCUAUAUUUAGACCGUAAAGCGAAAACUAACCAAAAAAACCUAAUGCUACAAAGCCGCUUAAUCAAUGAUAAAAUUUAUGCAUUAUUACAUGUUGCAAUGUACAAAAUAUUCAGAUUGCAAAAAAUAAAACAAUUAAAU
rnacentral:misc_RNA from 1 species